rnacentral:rRNA from 1 species
CCCUUAGAUGUUCUGGGCCGCCCGCGCGCUACACUGAUGCAUUCAACGAGUCUAAAACCUGCUCUGAUAGGGGUGGGUAAUCUUUUGAAUGUGCAUCGUGAUUGGGAUAGAUGAUUGCAAUUUUUCAUCUUCAACGAGGAAUGCCUAGUAAACGCAAGUCAUCAGCUUGCAUUGAUUACGUCCCUGCCCUUUGUACACACCGCCCGUCGCUCCUACCGAUUGAAUGAUCCGAUGAAUAUCAUGGAUUGAGGAUGCAAGUAGGUUAGCCUAUCUUCAUCUUCGAGAAGUGAAGUAAAUCUUAUCAUUUAGAGGAAGGAGAAGUCGUAACA